UGAUGCGUAGCCGUAGCGGCGAAAUCCAUGAUCCUAUGCUGCCGAGAAAAGCCUCUAGCGAGCUGGUACAUGGCCCGUACCCCAAACCGACACAGGUGGUCAGGUAGAGAAUACUAAGGCGAUCGAGAGAACUGUGGUUAAGGAACUCGGCAAAAUGCCCCCGUAACUUCGGGAGAAGGGGGACCAGUCCUGGUGACGACAUUUACUGUCUGAGCUGGGGUUGGUCGCAGAGACCAGAGAGAAGCGACUGUUUACUAAAAACACAGGUCCGUGCGAAGUCGUAAGACGAUGUAUACGGACUGACGCCUGCCCGGUGCUGGAAGGUUAAGAGGACCGGUCAGCCACUUCGGUGGCGAAGCUGAGAAUUUAAGCCCCAGUAAACGGCGGUGGUAACUAUAACCAUCCUAAGGUAGCGAAAUCCCUUGUCGGGUAAGUUCCGACCUGCACGAAUGGCGUAACGACUUCUCUGCUGUCUCAACCACAGACUCGGCGAAAUUGCAGUACGAGUAAGGAUGCUCGUUACGCGCGGCAGGACGAAAAGACCCCGGGACCUUCACUAUAGCUUGGUAUUGGUGUUCGGUUCGGUUUGUGUAGGAUAGGUGGGAGACUGUGAAACUCGCACGCCAGUGUGGGUGGAGUCAUUGUUGAAAUACCACUCUGACCGUAUUGGACACCUAACCUCGGACCAUGAUCUGGUUCAGGGACAGUGCCUGGUGGGUAGUUUAACUGGGGCGGUUGCCUCCUAAAAAGUAACGGAGGCGCCCAAAGGUUCCCUCAGCCUGGUUGGCAAUCAGGUGUUGAGUGUAAGUGCACAAGGGAGCUUGACUGUGAGACGUACAUGUCGAGCAGGACGAAAGUCGGGACUAGUGAUCCGGCACCGGCAAGUGGAAGCGGUGUCGCUCAACGGAUAAAAGGUACCCCGGGGAUAACAGGCUGAUCUUCCCCAAGAGUCCAUAUCGACGGGAUGGUUCGGCACCUCGAUGUCGGCUCGUCGCAUCCUGGGGCUGGAGUAGGUCCCAAGGGUUGGGCUGUUCGCCCAUUAAAGCGGCACGCGAGCUGGGUUUAGAACGUCGUGAGACAGUUCGGUCUCUAUCCGCCGCGCGCGUAAGAAACUUGAGGAAACCUGUCCCUAGUACGAGAGGACCGGGACGGACGAACCUCUGGUGUGCCAGUUGUUCCACCAGGAGCACCGCUGGUUAGCUACGUUCGGAAGGGAUAACCGCUGAAAGCAUCUAAGCGGGAAGCCUGUUCCAAGAUGAGGUUUCUCACCACCUAGCGUGGUUAAGGCCCCCCACAGACCAUGGGGUUGAUAGGCCAGAACUGUAAGCACAGCAAUGUGUUCAGGUGACUGGUACUAAUCGGCCGAGGACUUCC
rnacentral:rRNA from 1 species